GACGAACGCUGGCGGCGUGCUUAACACAUGCAAGUCGAACGGAAAGGCCCUGCUUUUGUGGGGUGCUCGAGUGGCGAACGGGUGAGUAACACGUGAGUAACCUGCCCUUGACUUUGGGAUAACUUCAGGAAACUGGGGCUCAUACCGGAUAGGAGCUCCUGCUGCAUGGUGGGGGUUGGAAAGUUUCGGCGGUUGGGGAUGGACUCGCGGCUUAUCAGCUUGUUGGGGGGGUAGUGGCUUACCAAGGCUUUGACGGGUAGCCGGCCUGAGCGGGUGACCGGCCACAUUGGGACUGAGAUACGGCACAGACCCCUACGGGAGGCAGCAGUGGGGAAUAUUGCACUAUGGGCGGAGGCCUGAUGCAGCAACGCCGCGUGCGGUAUGACGGCCUGCGGGUUGUAAACCGCUUUCGCCUGUGACGAAGCGUGAGUGACGGUAAUGGGUAAAGAAGCACCGGCUAACUACGUG
rnacentral:rRNA from 1 species